GAUGAACGCUAGCUACAGGCUUAACACAUGCAAGUCGAGGGGCAGCGCAGUGUAGCAAUACAUGGGCGGCGACCGGCGCACGGGUGCGUAACGCGUAUCCAACCUUCCCGUUACUCAGGGAUAGCCUUCCGAAAGGGAGAUUAAUACCUGAUGGUGUUUGAAUUCCGCAUGUUAUUCAAACUAAAGAUUUAUCGGUAACGGAUAGGGAUGCGUGACAUUAGGUAGAUGGCGGGGUAACGGCCCACCAUGCCUACGAUGUCUAGGGGUUCUGAGAGGAAGGUCCCCCACACUGGAACUGAGACACGGUCCAGACUCCUACGGGAGGCAGCAGUGAGGAAUAUUGGUCAAUGGGGCGCAAGCCUGAACCAGCCAAGUAGCGUGAAGGAUGACUGCCCUAUGGGUUGUAAACUUCUUUUUUACGGGAACAAAUGUUGCUACGUGUAGCAAUUUGCGUGUACCGUACGAAUAAGCAUCGGCUAACUCCGUG
rnacentral:rRNA from 1 species